AUUCCAGCUCCAAUAGCGUAUAUUAAAGUUGUUGCAGUUAAAAAGCUCGUAGUUGGACUUCUGGGCUGAUUUGUUGGUCUGCCGCAAGGCUGCACUAGCGAGUUGGCCCAUCCUCUCGAAGGCUGGUGGUGCUCUUAACUGGGUGCUAUCAGAACUCGGGAUCUUUACUUUGAAAAAAUUAGAGUGUUCAAAGCAGGCUUACGCUUGAAUACAUUAGCAUGGAAUAAUGGAAUAGGACUUUGGUUCUAUUUUGUUGGUUUCUAGAACUGAAGUAAUGAUUAAUAGGGAUAGUUGGGGGCAUUAGUAUUUAAUUGUCAGAGGUGAAAUUCUUGGAUUUAUGAAAGACUAACUUCUGCGAAAGCAUUUGCCAAGGAUGUUUUCAUCG
rnacentral:rRNA from 1 species